GUUGGGGGGGAGGGUGGGGGUUACUUUUUGCAGUGCUGGGGAACUUUUUCCCCUUUUUGAGGCCAGGCGAAAGGGAAUGCCCAAUCCAGAGAGACAUGGGGGCAAGAAGGACGGGAGUGGAGGAGCUUCUGGAACUUUGCAGCCGUCAUCGGGAGGUGGCAGCUCCAACAGCAGAGAGCGUCACCGCUUGGUGUCGAAGCACAAGCGGCAUAAAUCCAAGCACUCCAAAGACAUGGGGUUGGUGACCCCCGAAGCAGCACCUUUGGGUACAAUUAUCAAACCUUUGGUGGAGUAUGAUGACAUCAGCUCUGAUUCAGAUACCUUCUCUGACGAUAUGGCCUUCAAACUAGACAGGAGGGAGAAUGAUGAACGUCGUGGAACUGAUCGGAGUGACCGCCUGCACAAACAUCGUCACCACCAGCACAGACGUUCCCGGGACUUACUAAAAACUAAACAAACAGAAAAAGAAAAAAACCAGGAAGUCUCCAGCAAAUCGGGAUCGAUGAAGGACCGAGUAUCAGGAAGUUCAAAGCGUUCAAAUGAGGAGAAUGAGGACUAUGGGAAGGCACAGAUAUCCAAAAGCAGCAGCAACAAGGAAUCCAGGUCAUCCAAACUCCAUAAGGAGAAGACCCGGAAAGAACGUGAGUUGAAGUCUGGGCACAAAGACCGGAGUAAAAGUCAUCGGAAAAGGGAAACACCCAAAAGCUACAAAACAAUGGACAGCCCCAAACGGAGAUCCAGGAGUCCCCAUAGGAAAUGGUCUGACAGCCCCAAGCAAGAUGAUAGCCCCUCAGGAGCUUCUUAUGGCCAAGAUUAUGACCUUAGUCCCCCAAGAUCUCACACCUCUAGCAAUUAUGACUCCUACAAGAAGAGUCCUGGAAGUACCUCAAGAAGGCAGUCAAUUAGCCCGCCUUACAAGGAGCCUUCGGCCUACCAGUCCAGCACCCGGUCACCCAGUCCCUACAGUAGACGACAAAGAUCUGUGAGUCCCUAUAGUCGGAGACGUUCUUCCAGCUAUGAAAGGAGUGGCUCUUACAGUGGGAGAUCACCCAGUCCCUAUGGUCGAAGACGGUCCAGCAGCCCUUUCAUGAGCAAACGGUCUCUGAGUCGGAGUCCACUCCCCAGUAGGAAAUCCAUGAAGUCUAGAAGUAGAAGUCCCGCAUAUUCAAGACACUCAUCUUCUCAUAGUAAAAAGAAGAGAUCCGGGUCACGCAGUCGACAUUCCAGCAUCUCACCUGUCAGGCUUCCAUUGAAUUCCAGCUUGGGAGCUGAACUCAGUAGGAAAAAGAAGGAAAGAGCAGCUGCUGCUGCUGCAGCAAAAAUGGAUGGAAAGGAAUCCAAGGGUUCACCUAUAUUUUUGCCUAGGAAAGAGAACAGUUUAGUAGAGGCUAAGGAUUCAGGCUUGGAGUCUAAAAAGUUAACCAGAGGUGUAAAAUUGGAAAAAUCUGCCCCAGAUACUGAACUGGUGAAUGUACCACAUCUAAAUACAGAAGUCAAAAAUUCUUUAGAUACAGGGAAAGUAAAGUUGGAUGAGAACUCUGAGAAGCAUCCUAUUAAAGAUUUGAAAGCACAGGGAUCAAGAGACUCUAAACCCAUAGCAUUGAAAGAGGAGAUUGUUACUCCAAAAGAGGCAGAGACAUCAGAAAAGGAGACCCCUCCACCUGUCCCCACAGUUACUUCUCCUCCACCUCCUUUACCAACUACUACCCCUCCACCUCAAACACCCCCUUUGCCACCUUUGCCUCCACUACCAGCUGUUCCACAGCAACCUCCUCUGCCUCCUCCCCAACCAGCAUUUAGUCAGGUUCUUGCUUCUAGUACUUCAACUUUGCCCCCUUCUACUCACCCAAGGACAUCUACUUUGUCCUCUCAGGCAAAUUCUCAGCCCCUUGCACAGGUUUCUGUGAAGACUCAAGUAUCUGUAACAGCUGCUAUUCCACACCUAAAAACUUCAACGUUGCCUCCUCUGCCCCUCCCACCCUUACUACCAGGAGACGAUGACAUGGAUAGUCCAAAAGAAACUCCACCUUCAAAACCUGUAAAGAAAGAGAAGGAACAAAGGCCACGUCACUUACUCACGGACCUCCCUCUCCCUCCAGAACUUCCUGGUGGGGAUCCAUCUCCCCCAGACUCUCCAGAACCAAAGGCAGUUACACCACCUCAGCAACCAUAUAAAAAGAGACCAAAAAUUUGUUGUCCUCGUUAUGGAGAAAGAAGACAAACAGAAAGUGACUGGGGAAAACGCUGUGUAGACAAGUUUGACAUUAUUGGGAUUAUUGGAGAGGGAACCUAUGGCCAAGUAUAUAAAGCCAAGGACAAAGACACAGGAGAGCUAGUGGCCCUGAAAAAGGUGAGACUGGACAAUGAGAAGGAGGGCUUCCCAAUCACAGCCAUUCGUGAGAUCAAAAUCCUUCGUCAGCUAAUCCACCGAAGCGUUGUUAACAUGAAGGAAAUUGUUACAGAUAAACAAGAUGCACUGGAUUUCAAGAAGGACAAAGGUGCCUUUUACCUUGUAUUUGAGUAUAUGGACCAUGACUUAAUGGGACUGCUAGAAUCUGGUUUGGUGCACUUUUCUGAGGACCAUAUCAAGUCAUUCAUGAAACAGCUAAUGGAAGGAUUGGAUUACUGUCACAAAAAGAAUUUCCUGCAUCGGGAUAUUAAGUGUUCUAACAUUUUGCUGAACAACAGUGGGCAAAUCAAACUAGCAGAUUUUGGACUUGCACGGCUCUAUAACUCUGAAGAGAGUCGCCCUUAUACAAACAAAGUCAUCACUCUGUGGUACCGACCUCCAGAACUUCUGCUAGGAGAGGAGCGUUACACACCAGCCAUUGAUGUUUGGAGCUGUGGAUGCAUCCUUGGGGAACUGUUCACAAAGAAGCCUAUUUUUCAAGCCAAUCUGGAACUGGCUCAGCUAGAACUGAUCAGUCGACUCUGUGGUAGCCCUUGUCCAGCUGUGUGGCCUGAUGUUAUCAAGCUGCCCUACUUCAAUACCAUGAAACCGAAGAAGCAAUAUAGAAGGCGUCUGCGAGAAGAAUUCUCUUUCAUUCCUUCAGCAGCACUUGAUUUACUGGACCACAUGCUGACACUAGAUCCUAGCAAACGUUGCACAGCUGAACAGACUUUACAGAGUGACUUCCUUAAAGAUGUUGAGCUCAGCAAAAUGGAUCCUCCAGACCUCCCCCACUGGCAGGAUUGCCACGAAUUAUGGAGUAAGAAACGGCGACGACAGCGACAGAGUGGUGUUGUGAUAGAAGAGCCACCUCCAUCCAAAGCCUCUCGGAAAGAAACUACCUCAGGGACAAGUGCUGAGCCUGUGAAGAACAGCCCCCCAGCACCACCUCAGCCUGCUCCUGGCAAGGUGGAGCCUGGAACUGGGGAUGCAAUAGGCCUCGGUGACAUCACACAGCAGUUGAAUCAAAGUGAAUUGGCAGUGUUACUGAAUCUGCUGCAGAGCCAAACCGACCUGAGCAUCCCUCAAAUGGCUCAGCUGCUUAACAUCCACUCCAACCCAGAGAUGCAGCAGCAGCUGGAGGCCCUGAACCAAUCCAUCAAUGCCCUAACUGAAGCCACUUCCCAGCAGCAGGACUCAGAGCCCAUGGCCCCAGAGGAGUCUUUGAAGGAGGCACCUCCUGCCCUAGUGGUCCAGCCUUCAGCAGAACAGACAACCUCUGAAGCUUCAAGCACACCAGCUGACAUGCAGAAUAUGUUGGCAGUUCUUUUGAGUCAGCUGAUGAAAACCCAGGAGCCCACAGGCAGCCUGGAGGAAAACAACAGUGACAAGAACAGUGGGCCACAGGUGCCCCGAAGAACUCCCACAAUGCCACAGGAGGAGGCAGCAGCAUGUCCUCCUCACAUUCUUCCACCAGAGAAGAGGCCCCCUGAGCCCCCCGGACCUCCACCGCCGCCACCUCCACCCCCUCUGGUUGAAGGCGAUCUUUCCAGCGCCCCCCAGGAGUUGAACCCAGCCGUGACAGCCGCCUUGCUGCAACUUUUAUCCCAGCCUGAAGCAGAGCCUCCUGGCCACCUGCCACAUGAGCACCAGGCCUUGAGACCAAUGGAAUACUCCACCCGACCCCAUCCCAACAGGACUUACGGAAACACUGAUGGGCCUGAAACAGGGUUCAGUGCCACUGACACUGAUGAACGCAACUCUGGUCCAGCUUUGACAGAAUCCUUGACCCAGACCCUGGUGAAGAACAGGACCUUCUCAGGCUCUGUGAGCCACCUUGGGGAGUCCAGCAGUUACCAGGGCACAGGGUGGCAGCAGCGGCAGGAAGGAUGGCCCUUGAGGAAUUUGGUGAAGUCCGUCAGUCACCUGGCAUCUGGAGCCCUGAAAAGUUCAGUCUUUCAUACACUCUAAAGCCAGAUUUGAUGGGAGCUCCCACCUGUCCAGACACUAUUCAAGAUACCAGAAGUAGAGACCUACAAGCCUGCUUCUCUCCAUCCUCAUUGCCCAGAACCAGGAAGGUCAUGAGCUUCCAGUGCUCACCCCCACCCUUCUUGCUGCCAGAUGUGGAAAUGGAGACCCAGAGAGGAAAAUCAGUUGAAUCCUGUCCUGGAGUUGCUUUGUGUUCCUGGCUUUGGAGAGUUCCUGGGAACCCAAGGAAAGCUAGCUCCACUCCUGGCCACCUCAUCCCUUUGAGUCUGAGAAGAUAUGGUAAGUAGUUGUCUGUUCCCUACACUUUUUCUUCCUCUCUUCCUGGAGCCUGGAGUCCAGAAAGAUUGCUGAGCCUUUGCUGGGAAAGAGGAACAGACUUGAAGUAAGUGGGAGGCAGAGGUAGCAGCACCCAGAAUGACCUGCACUUUGGAGAAAAAGGAGCUCUGUAUUGGCCCAUGGUUUAGCUUUUACUCUGAUGGGACUCCUCCUUUUCUCCUUCUCCCUCAGUGUGUCCCAUGGGUUGGUGAGAGAUCUGGAUGUCUGAACCUCCCACCUGACACCUCGAAGGUUGUUAUACAUAUCCGCUCUCUAGCUCCCGAAGCCAUGGAGGAGGGGAAGGAAGGCAUCUCAGAGGUGGCAGCACCCAGGGAGGCCAAAGAGAAGAAACAGUGACCAGAGGGGGAGCCAGGAGGAGAUGCCUGCUCUUGAAAAACCCUCUUUAUCCCAUCCUCUCUGGCACCCCCUCUCACAUGCUGACAAGGCUGUGUGCCCAAGUGUAUCAGUUCUCCUGGCUGGCAAUUCUGCUCUGCCGUGCAGGCAUCCGGUUCUCUGCUCCGGCACAGAGCACAUGCUGGGCUCUCUCACACUCCUUUGCUCACUCAUCUCAACGUGUCUGUGUUGCAGAUUCCUAAGGAUGAAAGAGGAGGCUGUGGUCCUGUGAGUAGGAAGAUGGUGAGCUUGGGGCCCUUUGGGUGCAUAUCUGCCUCGCUGAAGGGCAAGGACGGAGAAGGCUGCUGGCAGCUCAGCUGAGCUCAGGGUUCUGGUGACUCAUAGUAAUGGGGGCAACUCAUGAAAACAUCAGAGGGGAAGGGGGUCCAGGCUUGUUAGAGCUCUCUUUUGCCCCAGUUCUCCCCAACUCUGAGCUAUGUGGAUGAAGUUCUCUCAUCUGGAUUGUGGGGCAAGGAGAGGCUCCAGCUAUGAAAGGGCUGGGAAUGCUCAACCUCCCUUAAUCAUUCCCAGAAAGAGGCUUCCCAUUGAGAAAAGGAUAGGAGAGGCCAGUAGUAUCCUCUGACCAUAGUCCCAGGGGGGUUAAGUCCUUUGUUUCAGCAAAGGGAAACAGGGAUCGUUGGUACUAGCGUAUCCAGAUAAUAGCACCCUCCCUCUGACGUCGGUGAAGGAUGGGCUGAGUAAGAGGAGGAGAGUUCUCUCGCAGAGCCCAUUUUCAUUUGCCUAUUUCAUUGCUGGCAGCCCUGCUUUCCAGCUUGGGGUGGUGGAGGGGGUGCUCUCUGUCAGGUUGCUUCUGGAGAUCCAGAGAUGGUUUUGGUUGGAGAAAGUGAUAGACCAGCCACUUUUCACUCUUCACUCUUCCUCUAGGGAGACGAGACCAUCUCUACUCCCCCCAGCUCUCCCUGGCAGCAUUGGGAGCCCAGGGUCCCCUGCUGGAAUACCCAUAAUAAAGCUCAGUCCUGAACUGAACCAACACAUCACCUGGCUCUGGUAUAAAAAUGGUGCUGUGAGGGGGAGCCUGGGUGCACCAGGUGGGUAUAGACAGGUGUGGGGAGUUUAGACCCAGGAGAGAUCCUAGAAUCACUCCUCAAUACCACAUGCUCCUCCUCUUUCUCAAACUUUCUCCUUGGCCUCCCUUUUCUUCUACCUCCCUUCAGCUAGCUCCACUCCUGGCCACCUCAUCCCUUUGAGUCUGAGAAGAUAUGCUUGGAUCAAAUCCAAGAGACCAAGGGGACUGAAACAUCUUAGUCAUGGCCUCAACAGAACUGGGGAACAAGAAGCUCCUCCAACCUCUCCUGACCUAGGACCGUUCAUGAAAGGGUACCAUGUCAUAUAUUCAGCUGUCCCUACGGGAAAUAAGAGUUUGAAGAGGGAUCAGAUUUUAGCAAAAAAGAUAGAAGGUAGACAUAUGGAAAAACUUAUUCAUGGGAUAUAAAACUUCAGAAUGGGCCUACUUCAGAGAUUUUUUUUUUUUUUUCCUGCCUGGGAUAGGUUUAAGUCUGUGCCUAUCAAGGGGAAUUGAAAAAACAGGAUUACUUUUCUGUGGCUUCUCCAGAUGGGGGCCUCAGUGCAUUUCUUCACUAGCUCUGGGAGUACACCCCUUCUCGGUCCUUCUAAAGGUAGUAGCUGAUGGUUAGAUCACAAGUUUGAGAGGCAGGAAGCCUUGGGUUCUACCACCAGCACUGCCAUUAACCAACUGUGCUAUCUUGGUAAGUCACUUAACCUCUCCGAGCCCUAGUUUCCUUGUCUGUAAAAUUCAGAUAAACAACCUCUUAAGGUUGUGGAGAGCAUUUAGUGAAGUAAUGUCUGUAAAGCACCUAGGACAUUGCCUCAUACUCAGUAGGUGCUCAGUGGUUGAUACAAUAAAUAGUCUGUUACUCUUAUGGAGUCACCAGGGCUGACAUUGCUUCAACGACUCCAGGAGUCCUCUGAAAUUACAGGCCAAAUAAGUGAAUGCAUGUAUGCUGGGAAGAAUGUCCAUGAUUGUCUUCAUGAUGUGAAGCAGGGGGGUGGCAGUCUCCUGGAAAGGAAAUAGCCCCAGUCCCUUGACUCAGACUGUGCCAUUCCCAUGCCUCAAACCAGGAGCUUCAUCAUCUAAGAUGGGGCUAUGAGAGACAGCCACUAGGAUAGCAACCCCAGGCACUUUACAGUUUGUCAAGUACAUUUACCUACAUUAGCUCUUUUAAUACCCAGUAUAUCCCAGUAAGGUGAAGAGAACUACCAUUUACUGAAUGCCUAUUAUGUGCCAGGCAUUGUGCUGGAUAUAUUUUUUUUAAGUAUGUUUAAAGUCUGUGGAGUAUUAUCACCUAAACAUGUCCUGAUUUACAAGGCUAAUCCCCUAUUUUUAAUCAUUUAGGUAUUUUACUCUUAUAAAUAAUACCAGAAUGAACAUUCUAACACAUAAACCUUCAUGCAUUUUUUUAAAAGAUUUUAUUUAUUUAUUUGUCAGAGAGA